rnacentral:rRNA from 1 species
UACGUAGGGUGCAAGCGUUAUCCGGAAUUAUUGGGCGUAAAGAGCUCGUAGGCGGUUUGUCACGUCUGCUGUAAAAACUGGAGGCUCAACCUCCAGCCUGCAGUGGGUACGGGCAGACUAGAGUGCGGUAGGGGAGAUCGGAAUUCCUGGUGUAGCGGUGAAAUGCGCAGAUAUCAGGAGGAACACCGGUGGCGAAGGCGGAUCUCUGGGCCAUUACUGACGCUGAGGAGCGAAAGCGUGGGGAGCGAACAGG